UGCUCUUGGUAAAUUUGAUGAUGGGCCAUUCUUGCUUGGUCAAUUCAGUUUGGUGGAUAUUGCCUAUGUUCCAUUUGUUGAAAGAUUCCAAGUUGUCUUUGCCGAGGUGUUCAA